rnacentral:rRNA from 1 species
CCUACGGGUGGCAGCAGUGGGGAAUAUUGCACAAUGGGGGAAACCCUGAUGCAGCGACGCCGCGUGAGUGAAGAAGUAUUUCGGUAUGUAAAGCUCUGUCAGCAGGGAAGAAAAUGACGGUACCUGACCAAGAAGCCCCGGCUAACUACGUGCCAGCAGCCGCGGUAAUACGUAGGGGGCAAGCGUUAUCCGGAUUUACUGGGUGUAAAGGGAGCGUAGACGGCAGGGCAAGUCUGGAGUGAAAGGCGGGGGCUCAACCCCCGGACUGCUCUGGAAACUGCCAGGCUGGAGUGCAGGAGAGGUAAGUGGAAUUCCUAGUGUAGCGGUGAAAUGCGUAGAUAUUAGGAGGAACACCAGUGGCGGAGGCGGCUUACUGGACAUUAACUGACGCUGAGGCACGAAGGCCAGGGGAGCGAAAGGGAUUAGAUACCCCUGUAGUC